AAUAAGCGGAGGAAAAGAAACCAACAGGGAUUGCCCUAGUAACGGCGAGUGAAGCGGCAACAGCUCAAAUUUGAAAGCUGGCUCCGGCCCGCAUUGUAAUUUGCAGAGGAUGCUUUUGGCGAGGUGCCUUCCGAGUUCCCUGGAACGGGACGCCAUAGAGGGUGAGAGCCCCGUAUGGAUGGACACCAGACCUGUGUAAAGCUCCUUCAACGAGUCGAGUAGUUUGGGAAUGCUGCUCUAAAUGGGAGGUAAAUCUCUUCUAAAGCUAAAUACCGGCCAGAGACCGAUAGCGCACAAGUAGAGUGAUCGAAAGAUGAAAAGCACCUUGAAAAGGGGGUUAAACAGUACGUGAAAUUGUUGAAAGGGAAGCAUUUGUGACCAGACUUGCGCCGGGCAGCUCAUCAGGGGUUCUCCCCUGUGCACUCUGCCCGGCUCAGGCCAGCAUCGGUUCUCGUGGGAGGAUAAGAACAGUGGGAACGUGGCCCCCCUCCGGGGGGGUGUUAUAGCCCAUUGUACGAUACUCUCGUGGGGACCGAGGUUCGCGCUCCGCAAGGAUGCUGGCGUAAUGGUCAUCAAUGACCCGUCUUGAAACACGGACCAAGGAGUCGUCCAUUAGAGCGAGCGUUUGGGUGUAAAACCCGCACGCGUAAUGAAAGUGAACGCAGGUGAGAGCUUCGGCGCAUCAUCGACCGAUCCUGAUGUCUUCGGAUGGAUUUGAGUAAGAGUUUUAACGGACGGACCCGAAAGACAGUGAACUAUGCUUGUAUAGGGUGAAGCCAGAGGAAACUCUGGUGGAGGCUCGCAGCGGUUCUGACGUGCAAAUCGAUCGUCAAAUAUGAGCAUGGGGGCGAAAGACUAAUCGAACUGUCUAGUAGCUGGUUACCG
rnacentral:rRNA from 1 species